CCCUUAGAUGUUCUGGGCCGCACGCGCGCUACACUGACGCUGUCAACGAGUCUCUCCUUGGCCGAAAGGUCUGGGUAAUCUUCUGAAACAUCGUCGUGCUGGGGAUAGAUCAUUGCAAUUUUUGAUCUUGAACGAGGAAUUCCUAGUAAGCGCGAGUCAUCAGCUCGCGUUGAUUACGUCCCUGCCCUUUGUACACACCGCCCGUCGCUACUACCGAUUGAAUGGUUUAGUGAGGACUCCUGAUUGGCGCCGCCGCCCCGGCAACGGAGCAGUGGACUGCCGAAAAGUUGUUCAAACUUGAUCAUUUAGAGGAAGUAAAAGUCGUAACA
rnacentral:rRNA from 1 species